GAUUAGUCCAAGGAGUGGGCACCAGACAUAUGUCAUGCCAGUCAGACUCUUCCUUAUGAAUUUAAGCUUGAGUUAGAGGAAUGAGCCCUUCUAUCUCAGAUGGUAAAGUUGUAAGGAUAUUAAUCCAGCAUUCACUAGUGGUAGUGAUUCAACCUUGGAAUGAGAGUUUUAAGCAGACAGAGGAAUAAAAGACAAGAUGGAACCAAAGAAAAGAAGACAAGAAACAGUGUUGAAAAGGUUUUUCAUGUCUCUAGUUCUAAUUCCUGAGGUCCUCAAGAACCCUAAUUUUUGUUAUUCCUGGUCUUGGUCAUUCAUGUUCAAUCUAUGAGCUGAUCCAGUGUCCUUUAAAAAUAUCUGCAAACACACCUGCCUUCUUUUUUAAGACCCUCCUUAUCUUUAGUUUACAUUUAUCCAUUCCUUUAAGUAGAAUGCUUUAAUAUAUUAACUAAGGAUGAAACUUCAAACAUGUUGUUAAUUGGUAGAAAAAUUUGAGGAUAAUGGAAUUAUAGGAUUAAAUGAGAUAAUAUAUAUCAAACAUUCACACUUGAUCUUAGCCAAAAGAUCAAGAAGUGAUUUUUUUUUUUUUUUUUUUGAUGAGACAUCACACCAGGCUGGACUGAAACUCCUGGUCUCAAGAGCUCCUCCCCCGAGUAGCUAGGACUACAGGUGCACGCCAUUGUGCUCAGCUUUUUUUCUUUUUCUUAAAGUUGGAAAGACAGACUUUAUUCAAG
rnacentral:lncRNA from 1 species